UACGUAGGGGGCAAGCGUUGUCCGGAUUCAUUGGGCGUAAAGAGCUCGUAGGCGGUCUGUCGCGUCGGCUGUGAAAUCCCGAGGCUCAACCUCGGGCCUGCAGUCGAUACGGGCAAACUGGAGUGUUGCAGGGGAGACUGGAAUUCCUGGUGUAGCGGUGAAAUGCGCAGAUAUCAGGAGGAACACCGGUGGCGAAGGCGGGUCUCUGGGCAACAACUGACGCUGAGGAGCGAAAGCGUGGGGAGCGAACAGG
rnacentral:rRNA from 1 species